AGUUAUUUUGUGACGAAUUAUUUCGAAGAAAAUUUUCAGUGGCCACUAGAAAAAAUUGAAUAAGAGCAAAACAAAAACGCGAGAAUCUACGAUCUAUUCAAUCAUGCUUAUAUUGUCGGGAAGUCAAUAUAAGAUAUGUCGAAGAACUUCAACGACAUGUAAACCGAUAUAUUCGAUAAUCGGCGGUUAGUCCAAAUUGCAUAUUUAACAAUUGUACGUACUCGAAACAUAAAUAAUGUAAUGUAUAUGUUUUCAAAUAUGUUGUUUUUGUCAAACGUUCAACAAGGGUUAUGCCGGACAUACAGUAAACAUUUUUACUGACCUUGUCAAUAAUUAAUUGUCAUAACACUCUUCAAUAUCGCUUGCAAGGUACGUCCAUUGGCAGAAUCCUUUGUCGGUGGACCAGAUGUUCACCUUGCGACAAAUUCACGAUAAGUUUUGGGAGUACAACUUGCGGACUCAUCACUUGUUUGUAGAUUUCAAAGCAGCAUACGACUUAGUGAAACGAGCCGAAUUGUGGCGAAAACACUUUCUGACAAAGCUAAUAAGACUGAUUCGUGCGACGCUCAAUGGAUCGAAAUCAAGCGUCAAGAUAGCUGGUAUGACAUACGAUACUUUCGUGACGUUAGAUGGAGUGAAGCAGAGCGACACGCUCUCAAAUUUAUUGUUCAGCGUUCGAAGGUGCGAGGCGAAGAUUCGGCGUGCAGAGAAACGGAUCUUGGAACACUAGUGACAUACACCGUGGCGUUCCGAAGAAAUUUGGUGCCCGGGUCCGCCCCCCAACGUUGAUUUAGUGAGCAAAAAAAAAAGGUCUCAAGGAUUGGUUUGCCAUCGCACACAAUAUAUCAAUUUAUGAGAACGAUUUUAGAUAUUCAGAAGUGUGAAGAUUUACGUCAUCCAGUUAUGUAUCGUGCGAAGAUUGAGCCUACAUUUUUGAAAGAAUUCUUCAAAAAGGCGACCACAUUUUCGACCGGAAAUAACGACACUGACGAUGCAUGUCACGAGGUUCGAUGGGUUCGGUGAAAGACACGUGUCUGAGAGAUAGAAAUGGUGUCUGAAAAUCUUCAAUCGAUUAGGCCCGUACUCAGGUACCACAAGUUCAAUGCUCGACGAUUAUUCGUGGAACAAGAAAUCCUCCAGAGUAUUCUUACGGGAUAAAGACCCUCGCAACGCUAAUCUACUGCAUGAAAUUAAUUGCACUCCGGUAUGAUAUAUUGUUUUAAAUAUUCAAUGUUUUAUUGAGCCAUUAGUUUCGUUGUUACCGGAAUCUGAUUUUCUGCGGAAAAUCGAAUUGUGUUCUCUACUGUAAAUAACAGUGCAUCCAUUCUACGGCGUAUAUGUUUGGCAACAUUUUCUUCAUGC